GCUAGAGUAGCUCAGUUGGUUAGAGCGUGUGGCUGUUAACUACAACAAGGUUGAAGGUUUAAGUCCUUCCUCUAGCG
rfam:Ipomoea nil DNA, scaffold: scaffold0164, cultivar: Tokyo-kokei standard.